rnacentral:rRNA from 1 species
UACAGAGGGUGCUAGCGUUAAUCGGAAUUACUGGGCGUAAAGCGCAUGUAGGUGGAUAUUUAAGUCGGGCGUGAAAGCCCCGGGCUCAACCUGGGAAUCGCACUCGAUACUAGAUAUCUAGAGUAUGGUAGAGGGAAGUGGAAUUUCCGGUGUAGCGGUGAAAUGCGUAGAUAUCGGAAAGAACAUCAGUGGCGAAGGCGACUUCCUGGAUCAAUACUGACACUAAAGUGCGAAAGCGUGGGGAGCAAACAGG